AUUUUNACAAUGGGGGAAACCCUGNUGGAGCGACGCCGCGUGGGGGAUGACUGGCUUCGGCCCGUAAACCCCUGUCAUUUGCGAACAAACCUUUUCACCCAACACGUGGAGAGUUGAUAGUAGCGGAAGAGGAAGGGACGGCUAACUCUGUGCCAGCAGCCGCGGUAAUACAGAGGUCCCAAGCGUUGUUCGGAUUCACUGGGCGUAAAGGGUGCGUAGGUGGCCGGGUAAGUCUGAUGUGAAAUCUCGGAGCUCAACUCCGAAACGGCAUUGGAUACUAUCCGGCUGGAGGGUCGGAGGGGGGACUGGAAUUCUCGGUGUAGCAGUGAAAUGCGUAGAUAUCGAGAGGAACACCAGUGGCGAAGGCGAGUCCCUGGACGACUCCUGACACUGAGGCACGAAAGCUAGGGGAGCAAACAGGAUUAGAUACCCUGGUAGUCCUAGCCGUAAACGGUGCGUAUUUGCUGUAAAAGGAAUCGACCCCUUUUGUGGCGUAGCCAACGCGUUAAAUACGCCGCCUGGGAAGUACGGUCGCAAGAUUAAAACUCAAAGGAAUUGACGGA
rnacentral:rRNA from 1 species